UACGAAGGGGGCUAGCGUUGCUCGGAAUUACUGGGCGUAAAGCGCACGUAGCGGUCUUUUAAGUCGGGGGUGAAAUCCUGGAGCUCAACUCCAGAACUGCCUUCGAUACUGGAAGACUUGAGUCUGGGAGAGGUGAGUGGAACUGCGAGUGUAGAGGUGAAAUUCGUAGAUAUCGCAAGAACACCAGUGGCGAAGGCGGACUC
rnacentral:rRNA from 1 species